rnacentral:rRNA from 1 species
CUCCUAAAUCGUAACGGAGGCGCGCGAAGGUUGGCUCAGAGCGGUCGGAAAUCGCUCGUUGAGUGCAAUGGCAGAAGCCAGCCUGACUGCGAGACUGACAAGUCGAGCAGAGUCGAAAGACGGCCAUAGUGAUCCGGUGGUCCCAAGUGGGAGGGCCAUCGCUCAACGGAUAAAAGGUACGCCGGGGAUAACAGGCUGAUACUGCCCAAGAGUCCAUAUCGACGGCAGUGUUUGGCACCUCGAUGUCGGCUCAUCUCAUCCUGGGGCUGGAGCAGGUCCCAAGGGUACGGCUGUUCGCCGUUUAAAGAGGUACGUGAGCUGGGUUUAGAACGUCGUGAGACAGUUCGGUCCCUAUCUUCCGUGGGUGUAGGAUACUUGAGAGGAGUUGCCCCUAGUACGAGAGGACCGGGGUGAACGAUCCACUGGUGGACCAGUUGUUAUGCCAAUAGCAGUGCUGGGUAGCUAUGAUCGGACAGGAUAACCGCUGAAGGCAUCUAAGCGGGAAGCCCCCCUCAAAACAAGGUAUCCCUGAGAGCCGUGGUAGACCACCACGUCGAUAGGCCAGAGAUGUAAGCGUAGUAAUACGUUCAGUUGACUGGUACUAAUUGCUCGAUAGGCUUGAUUUGAUCCAG